rnacentral:rRNA from 1 species
ACGGGAGGCAGCAGUGGGGAAUAUUGCACAAUGGGCGCAAGCCUGAUGCAGCAACGCCGCGUGAGGGAAGAAGGUCUUCGGAUUGUAAACCUAAGUUGUCAGGGACGAUAAUGACGGUACCUGAAGAGAAAGCUCCGGCUAACUACGUGCCAGCAGCCGCGGUAAUACGUAGGGAGCGAGCGUUGUCCGGAUUUACUGGGUGUAAAGGGUGCGUAGGCUGGUUUGCAAGUCAGGCGUGAAAUCCCACGGCUUAACUGUGGGGCUGCGCUUGAAACUGUAGAUCUUGAGUGAAGUAGAGGCAAGCGGAAUUCCUAGUGUAGCGGUGAAAUGCGUAGAUAUUAGGAGGAACACCAGUGGCGAAGGCGGCUUGCUGGGCUUUAACUGACGCCGAGGCACGAAAGUAUGGGGAGCAAACAGGAUUAGAUACCCUGGUA